rnacentral:misc_RNA from 1 species
UCUCCGUAGGUGAACCUGCGGAAGGAUCAUUCAUAAUAAGUGUUUUAUGGCACUUUUUUAAAUCCAUAUCCACCUUGUGUGCAAUGUCAGGGUUGGUCUCUUUUUGAUCAGCCCCAAACAUCAACUAUUAUCUCAACUCUUUGUCUGAAAAAUAUUAUGAAUAAAACAAUUCAAAAUACAACUUUCAACAACGGAUCUCUUGGCUCUC